GCCAGAGUUCCGUAAAGUCAAGGCUUUCGGAAGCGUGUCUUGUAAAUUCAGUAACCCACCGGCGGCGGAAAAAAUCUCGCAGCGGACCUUGCGACGGUCGCGUUGCGUUGUCGUCGGUAAUGAAAAACCAAUCUGCGGCGGAGUUUGCCCCUUCGAGGGAAUCCUCCGCCCCAUUUAGCAAGCGGUUACUUUCUUU
rnacentral:sRNA from 1 species